rnacentral:rRNA from 1 species
GAUGAACGCUAGCGGCAGGCUUAAUACAUGCAAGUCGAGGGGCAGCAGGGUGUAGCAAUACAUCGCUGGCGACCGGCAAACGGGUGCGGAACACGUACACAACUUUCCUUUAAGUGGGGAUAGCCCAGAGAAAUUUGGAUUAAUACCCCGUAAUAUUAUGAAGUGGCAUCAUUUUAUAAUUAUAGCUCCGGCGCUUGAAGAUGGGUGUGCGGCUGAUUAGGUAGUUGGCGGGGUAACGGCCCACCAAGCCUACGAUCAGUAACUGGUGUGAGAGCACGACCAGUCACACGGGCACUGAGACACGGGCCCGACUCCUACGGGAGGCAGCAGUAAGGAAUAUUGGUCAAUGGACGCAAGUCUGAACCAGCCAUGCCGCGUGAAGGAUGAAGGUCCUCUGGAUUGUAAACUUCUUUUAUAGGGGAANAACCCGAGUAAUUUCUUUUUCGGUGACGGUACCCUAGGAAUAAGCACCGGCUAACUCCGUGCCAG